rnacentral:rRNA from 1 species
UACGAAGGGGGCUAGCGUUGUUCGGAAUCACUGGGCGUAAAGGGCGCGUAGGCGGCUGUUCCAAGUCGGGGGUGAAAGCCUGUGGCUCAACCACAGAAUGGCCUCGAUACUGGACGGCUCGAGACCGGAAGAGGUGAGUGGAACUGCGAGUGUAGAGGUGAAAAUUCGUAGAUAUUCGCAAAGAACACCAGUGGCGGAAGGCGGCUCACUGGUCCGGUUCUGACGCUGAGGCGCGAAAGCGUGGGGAGCAAACAGG